UAAGUAUAAGCGACUAUACUGUGAAACUGCGAAUGGCUCAUUAAAUCAGUUAUGGUUUAUUUGAUGGUACCUACUACUUGGAUAACCGUAGUAAUUCUAGAGCUAAUACAUGCAGGAAGACCCGACUUCGGAAGGGUUGUAUUUAUUAGAUAAGAAACCAAUCCAGCUUGCUGGUUGCGUGCCGAGUCACAAUAACUGCUCGAAUCGCACGGCUUUACGCCGGCGAUGGUUCAUUCAAAUUUCUGCCCUAUCAGCUUUCGAUGGUAGGAUCGAGGCCUACCAUGGCGUUUACGGGUAACGGAGAAUUAGGGUUCGAUUCCGGAGAGGGAGCCUGAGAGAUGGCUACCACAUCCAAGGAAGGCAGCAGGCGCGUAAAUUGCCCGAAUCCUGACACAGGGAGGUAGUGACAAGAAAUAACAAUACAGGGCUACAUCUAGUCUUGUAAUUGGAAUGAGUACAAUUUACAUCUCUUCACGAGGAUCAAUUGGAGGGCAAGUCUGGUGCCAGCAGCCGCGGUAAUUCCAGCUCCAAUAGCGUAUAUUAAAGUUGUUGCGGUUAGAACGCUCGUAGUCGGAUUUCGGGGCGGGCCGACCGGUCUGCCGAUGGGUACGCACUGGUCGGCGCGUCCUUCCUUCCGGAGACCGUGCCUACUCUUAACUGAGCGGGGGCGGGAGACGGAACGUUUACUUUGAAAAAAUCAGAGUGCUUCAAGCAGGCAGCUCGCUCUUGCAUGGAUUAGCAUGGGAUAAUGAAAUAGGACUUUGGUGCUAUUU
rnacentral:rRNA from 1 species